GUCUAUGGCCAUACCACCCUGAACACGCCCGAUCUCAUCUGAUCUUGGAAGCUAACUAAGCAGGGUCUGGCCUUGUUAGUAAUUGGAUGGGGGGCGGAAAUAACAUGUACAAGGAUAUUUAUU
rnacentral:rRNA from 1 species